rnacentral:rRNA from 1 species
UUAAGCGACUAAGCGUACACGGUGGAUGCCCUGGCAGUCAGAGGCGAUGAAGGACGUGCUAAUCUGCGAAAAGCGCCGGCGAGGUGAUAUGAACCUUUGACCCGGCGAUGUCCGAAUGGGGAAACCCAGUGUGAUUCGUCACACUAUCGUUAACUGAAUACAUAGGUUAACGAGGCGAACCGGGGGAACUGAAACAUCUAAGUACCCCGAGGAAAAGAAAUCAACCGAGAUUCCCCCCAGUAGCGGCGAGCGAACGGGGAGCAGCCCAGAGUCUGAAUCAGCUUGUGUGUUAGUGGAAGCGUCUGGAAAGUCGCACGGUACAGGGUGACAGUCCCGUACACGAAAGCACACAGGUUGUGAACUCGAAGAGUAGGGCGGGACACGUGGUAUCCUGUCUGAAUAUGGGGGGGGGGACCAUCCUCCAAGGCUAAAUACUCCUGACUGACCGAUAGUGAACCAGUACCGUGAGGGAAAGGCGAAAAGAACCCCCGGCGAGGGGAGUGAAACAGAACCUGAAACCGUGUACGUACAAGCAGUGGGAGCACCUUCGUGGUGUGACUGCGUACCUUUUGUAUAAUGGGUCAGCGACUUAUAUUCUGUAGCAAGGUUAACCGUAUAGGGGAGCCGAAGGGAAACCGAGUCUUAACUGGGCGUUAAGUUGCAGGGUAUAGACCCGAAACCCGGUGAUCUAGCCAUGGGCAGGUUGAAGGUUGGGUAACACUAACUGGAGGACCGAACCGACUAAUGUUGAAAAAAUUAGCGGAUGACUUGUGGCUGGGGGGUGAAAGGCCAAUCAAACCGGGAGAUAGCUGGUUCUCCCCCGAAAGCUAUUUAGGUAGCGCCUCGUGAACUCAUCUUCGGGGGGUAGAGCACUGUUUCGGCUAGGGGGGCCAUCCCGGCUUACCAACCCGAUGCAAACUACGAAUACCGAAGAAUGUUAUCACGGGAGACACACGGCGGGUGCUAACGUCCGUCGUGAAGAGGGAAACAACCCAGACCGCCAGCUAAGGUCCCAAAGUCAUGGUUAAGUGGGAAACGAUGUGGGAAGGCACAGACAGCCAGGAUGUUGGCUUAGAAGCAGCCAUCAUUUAAAGAAAGCGUAAUAGCUCACUGGUCGAGUCGGCCUGCGCGGAAGAUGUAACGGGGCUAAACCAUGCACCGAAGCUGCGGCAGCGACACUAUGCGUUGUUGGGUAGGGGAGCGUUCUGUAAGCCGUUGAAGGUGUGCUGUGAGGCAUGCUGGAGGUAUCAGAAGUGCGAAUGCUGACAUAAGUAACGAUAAAGCGGGUGAAAAGCCCGCUCGCCGGAAGACCAAGGGUUCCUGUCCAACGUUAAUCGGGGCAGGGUGAGUCGACCCCUAAGGCGAGGCCGAAAGGCGUAGUCGAUGGGAAACAGGUUAAUAUUCCUGUACUUGGUGUUACUGCGAAGGGGGGACGGAGAAGGCUAUGUUAGCCGGGCGACGGUUGUCCCGGUUUAAGCAUGUAGGCGGAGGUUCCAGGUAAAUCCGGUACCUUUUAACGCUGAGGUGUGAUGACGAGGCACUACGGUGCUGAAGUAACAAAUGCCCUGCUUCCAGGAAAAGCCUCUAAGCAUCAGGUAACAUCAAAUCGUACCCCAAACCGACACAGGUGGUCAGGUAGAGAAUACCAAGGCGCUUGAGAGAACUCGGGUGAAGGAACUAGGCAAAUGGUGCCGUAACUUCGGGAGAAGGCACGCUGAUAUGUAGGUGAAGCCCCUGCGGGUGGAGCUGAAAUCAGUCGAAGAUACCAGCUGGCUGCAACUGUUUAUUAAAAACACAGCACUGUGCAAACACGAAAGUGGACGUAUACGGUGUGACGCCUGCCCGGUGCCGGAAGGUUAAUUGAUGGGGUUAGCGGCAACGCGAAGCUCUUGAUCGAAGCCCCGGUAAACGGCGGCCGUAACUAUAACGGUCCUAAGGUAGCGAAAUUCCUUGUCGGGUAAGUUCCGACCUGCACGAAUGGCGUAAUGAUGGCCAGGCUGUCUCCACCCGAGACUCAGUGAAAUUGAACUCGCUGUGAAGAUGCAGUGUACCCGCGGCAAGACGGAAAGACCCCGUGAACCUUUACUAUAGCUUGACACUGAACACUGGUCCUUGAUGUGUAGGAUAGGUGGGAGGCUUUGAAGUGUGGACGCCAGUCUGCAUGGAGCCGUCCUUGAAAUACCACCCUUUAAUGGCUGGUGUUCUAACGUAGACCCGUGAUCCGGGUUGCGGACAGUGUCUGGUGGGUAGUUUGACUGGGGCGGUCUCCUCCCAAAGAGUAACGGAGGAGCACGAAGGUUAGCUAAUCCUGGUCGGACAUCAGGAGGUUAGUGCAAUGGCAUAAGCUAGCUUGACUGCGAGAGUGACGGCUCGAGCAGGUGCGAAAGCAGGUCAUAGUGAUCCGGUGGUUCUGAAUGGAAGGGCCAUCGCUCAACGGAUAAAAGGUACUCCGGGGAUAACAGGCUGAUACCGCCCAAGAGUUCAUAUCGACGGCGGUGUUUGGCACCUCGAUGUCGGCUCAUCACAUCCUGGGGCUGAAGUAGGUCCCAAGGGUAUGGCUGUUCGCCAUUUAAAGUGGUACGCGAGCUGGGUUUAGAACGUCGUGAGACAGUUCGGUCCCUAUCUGCCGUGGGCGCUGGAGAAUUGAGGGGGGCUGCUCCUAGUACGAGAGGACCGGAGUGGACGCAUCACUGGUGUUCGGGUUGUCAUGCCAAUGGCACUGCCCGGUAGCUAAAUGCGGAAAAGAUAAGUGCUGAAAGCAUCUAAGCACGAAACUUGCCCCGAGAUGAGUUCUCCCUGAGACUUUAAGUCUCCUGAAGGAACGUUGAAGACGACGACGUUGAUAGGUCGGGUGUGUAAGCGCAGCGAUGCGUUGAGCUAACCGAUACUAAUGAACCGUGAGGCUUAACCU